rnacentral:rRNA from 1 species
UACGUAGGUGGCAAGCGUUAUCCGGAAUUAUUGGGCGUAAAGCGUGCGCAGGCGGUUCGUUGUGUCCGAUGUGAAAGCCCCGAGCUCAACUUGGGAAUGGCAUUGGAAACUGGCGGGCUGGAGUGUGGCAGAGGGGGGUGGAAUUCCACGUGUAGCAGUGAAAUGCGUAGAGAUGUGGAGGAACACCGAUGGCGAAGGCAGCCCCCUGGGCCAACACUGACGCUCAGGCACGAAAGCGUGGGGAGCAAACAGG